rnacentral:rRNA from 1 species
UACGUAGGGUGCAAGCGUUGUCCGGAAUUAUUGGGCGUAAAGAGCUCGUAGGCGGUUUGUCGCGUCUGCUGUGAAAACUCAGGGCUUAACCCUGAGCCUGCAGUGGGUACGGGCAGACUAGAGUGUGGUAGGGGAGAUCGGAAUUCCUGGUGUAGCGGUGGAAUGCGCAGAUAUCAGGAGGAACACCGAUGGCGAAGGCGGGUAGCUGGGCCGACACUGACGCUGAGACGCGAAAGCGUGGGGAGCGAACAGG